ACAGAGCCUGACGCAGGGCUGGAACACUGGAACCAUGAGAUCAUGACCUGAGCGGCAGUCGGACAACUGACUGAGCCACCCAGGUGCCCCUAAAUGGUGGUCUAUAGAGUGGAAAUGUGCAAUAACUUCGUUAAACAUGCUUAUUAUUUAAAAAAAAAAAUUAACUUUUGUGUUUAAGCCAAAGUUACGUAUUGCAUUUUAAGUCAUCAGUGUUUUAUUGCACAAUGAAUACUGUACCGUUGAGCACAGCGUGCUACAGAGAGCUUUUUAUGUCCCUGAAAUGGUUGCAAUUCAGAGACCCCUGCUAUGGAUUCACCCAGUGGUGACUGUUCUUGAGCUUGCCCAUGACAGUCUCAGGUUAACACCUGUUAAUUCUGUGUAAUUGUUAAUUGUGUUCACUUUCACUCUUAGAUAUCCCAGUUUGAAAAUGAAUUCUAUAGUCACCCUAACAAUAUGAUUAUAUGUUUCUUGAAGGUAAUCCUCCCUUGAAUCAUAAUUUUAAAUUUUUUAUUUUGCUGUUAGUAUUACCAUGUAAAUUUUUUAAAGACAGUUCUAUGCAGAUACUGAAAGGAAUAGUAUAUCAUCCUAAUCUGAUUUUUUUUCAAUUUUUAUGAUCUUUGAGGUUAGGCCCCCUUUAAAAUAAUUACAAAUGGAUAGAUUUUAUUCUCAAAGGUCUCAAAAGUCAAAGAUCAUUUAGACUGCCCAUUUGAGAACACACACAACCUUUCAUUGUAAAGUGUGGUUAGUGAGCUAUGGGCCAGGAGCAGAGAUAAUUCAGUACUGUUUGUAGUUUCAUGAUCGACCAUUGAAUACCUUGGGCAAAUUAUGUAACCUUUCAGUGCCUCAAUUUCUUCAUUUGUGAAAUGAAGAUGAUACUUGUUAUUUACCUACUGAUCUACCUCACAAAACUAUUGUGAGGGUAUUCAGUUGAUGUUUGUAUGCUGGAGUUAAAAACAAAACAAAAUAAGUUGUUAGCUGUGCUGUUUUUCCUAGUGGUACUUGAAGGUGUUGGGUGGAGAAAUGAUCAGCCCAGAGAGGGGUUCAGCUUCUUAUUAUUACAGAGAAGCUUAUAAGUCCCCAAAGCAAAACAGUUUUUAGAAUAAUUUAUCAAAAGUCCUGUGAAAAUAAUAUUUUUGUAUUUUUCAUCUUUGGGUUUACCCUGAAAUAUUUUCCUUAAGUAUAAUGUUGUUUCUCAUCAGGUUUUGUCGUGAAACCCAGAUGCUGUAGGAGAAGUAGAAGCAGAAAAAGAGAAGAAAUUAUGCAGUCACUUCUGUAACUUAUAAUGCCCUAAAAUAGAUUGAUAGGAAUAUGUAGGGGAAUGUACUACUUUCCUUUACUAUUAAAAUUGUUAUGAUUAUAGUAAUUGAAGUAUGUGUAAUACUUCACAAACAAUGUAGCUCCCUUUGUGACUUUUUGUUACUCUCCAAAUGAUUUUUGGUUGUUUAAGUGAUCUAGACUGUUCAACUUUUUAAGCAGAAUUUAUCUUACAGGAUUUUACGGCGUUACCUGACUGGGUAAAUUUGAGUUCAUAAGGGCUGUGGAAUAAUUGCAACACAAAAGAGGCCCUCAUUUCACAAGAGUGGUAAGAGCUAAAUUAAAACUUUCAAGGAUUUUCCAUUUAUAAAAAAAUAGAUUGGAAAAUUAGACAACCCAUACCAUCAAAAAAUGCUGUGAGUUGAUUUGUUUUUUUUUUUUUUUUUUUAAUGUUUGUUUAUUUUUGAGA